CUCAAGACCCGUCCAGGGUAUAUCCUGACUUUCACUCAACAUCAGCUGGGAUGGCUCUGGCCCCUGGAGCAGUCCUCAAAGGUAAGGACUACAGACGAUGGGUGGAUAGGUGGUGGGAAAGCCAGAAAAUUUGCAACUUUUAGUACAAGCUAAAAGUCAAGUAGACAGGAUUUUUGGGUUAUUUCAUGAUCUGCUGUUUCCAGUAAAAAAAAGAUAUGAAAUGUUGUCACUUUAGUGCACAAGUCCCCAGAGUUCCAGUAUCCAGAAAUGACUGUCCUGACCACUGAUAGAGGAGAUACUCUGACUUUUGUAAUCCUCUCCAUCUGUUAUUUGAUCAUUGCUCGAAGAGGCAAGGGUGUAGUGCAUGAGUGUGAUAGUAUAUCUCCAGAUUAUUUGGUGUCUGCUCAGCUAAUCACGGGAGUGGUGACCAGAGUGAGCAUCCACAGCAACUAAAGAGUGAUGGAUGAAAGGGUGAUAUAAUCUUGCAUCAAUUAUUAAUGCGCUGCCUGGAAAUAAAUCACUAGUGAGGUUGUGCGUUUGCCUGUAUGAGUGUGUGAGCUCCUGUAUCUGUGCUAUUGAGAAAGCUCUCUUCAUGAAUAAUGAACAUUCAAUUCUCACCUCAACCAGGGAUUUCACACCACUGAAACUCUGCAGAGGAAAAUAAGCAUGUGCCAGAGAGGUAGAGAAGUAAAAAUGAGAGUACAUGUGUUUAUAUGUGUGUUGGAAAGACUGCAUGCAUGUAACAGCGGAAAAGAUCAGAAAAAAGGUCCACUUGGUUUGAGAAUUAUGAAUUAAUAUAUGUAUGCGCAUGUUUGUGUGCGUCACUUAAAUUACUUCUUUAUUCAGCAAGCAGGCGAGAAGCUGGCUGAGCUGUUGCCUUAAUUAUCAGUUAUGUGCUUGUAUGUGCGUCAGAAUGAAAGAUUGCAUAAAUAAGAGGCAGCCUCUCCUCAUUCAAACGUGCUCUCCUGCCUGAAAUCUUCUUUUUUCAAGUAUUCUCUAACUAUUUCAUUCUGUAGUCUUCAGUCUGUUAAAGGCUUCCUAAUCCCUCUAUUACCUAACACCUGACUGGAUUAAGAGCUUGAUCCUGAUUGGUUAAAUCCCCUAAACAGAGGGGAUAAAUCCGCCAAAACAAGUAUGAUGCAAGGGACCUUACCACACCUGUCUUAUUAAACAAAAACACAGGAGGGGACCAGCGCAUCUCACCUCUGCCUGUUGACACUGGAAAAACGUUAGUUUCCAUCAGUGUUAAAUUGGAAACACUGCAGUCAUCAGAAUGAGGGGUAACUGUAAACACGUGAAAGCAGCCUGAAGAGCUACUGGACGGCAACCAUCUCUGAUAGGAAAAUGUAAAAGAUCACAAUGUCCUGUAAUUCACACAAUGAUAGCAUAGCUGGAGUGAGCACAUCUAACCUCUUAAUCCCAUCAGAUCUGUGUUCAGUCCACAAUUUUGGUUUGUUUUAACUGGCUCUGCUGUGUCAGAGUUAACUUCUAUUUUGCAUGGCUGGUUAUUUUGGAAAUCAUUAAAACAUCUGGGUAAUUUUGAAAAUUGAGCACCUUUAGUUGAGGAUGUUAAGGUCACGACAGUGGUGAAUCAAACAGGCAGACAUACUGUUGCAAGGUGGCUAAAGGCCUGUCUCUGGUAGGUUGACUGGAAGCUGGGUUGAGUCACCAUUUGAAAUAUGGGGAAUAAAGUAGCUCCAUAACUAGUUUGUUAUAAGAAAAAAGGCCACUAACACAAUGAAAUGGUGGUGAUACUUCCAACAGUUCCAGUUUCUCAAAGUAAAAAACAGCUGCUUCCUUUUAUCUAAAAUAUAUACUAGUUUAAUCAACCUUUUUGGUUUUGAAUGUCUCACAGAAACUAUUAUACAAUGUCAUCUCAAAUACCUGAAAAUAGCUGAAAAAUACCAAAAAUGGGAACACUCCUUAGAUGCCGACUUUAUGCACAUAAAUAAAGCUUAGCAUACAGAGACAAGGAAUAGUUUUCCUGCUUACUCACUUUUCUCUUUCUCUCAGUUUUGAAGUCAAGCUAACUGAGGUGGAGCAAGCUCCCACCACGACCUUUGUGAGUCAAUUGUUGUCUCAUUUCCACACCUUCCCCUCCAGUUUUCAUCAGAUCCAGAACUUCUCAGGGACUCUCCUGCUGAAAGAAAUGCAGUGAGGAACUUUACCUGGCAAUAAUUGUGAACCACUUUGAAGAAAAGUUUUGGAAGUUUCCUAAAGCUUCCUUGAGCAUUCUGGACUCUCGCCAUACUUGGCUGUAUUGUAGCUGCUGUGUGGUGGUGUGGAGCAGCAUGUAAAUGAGACAAAUAAAGCCAUUGUUUAUUCUGAGGAGAAAGAGAAUGGAGAAUAAUUCAUAAAGUGGAUUUAAGAGAAGACCCCAGAGACAACUGGCCCUUUAAUAAGUCACGACUAUGGAAACUUAAGGAUAAGUUGCGCUGCAGGCUAUGAAAGUAUUCAAUAGGACGAGCAAAACUGCCUCUAAUUUGUUUGUUCUUGGAGGACCAUUGAAGGAUUUGUAAUUCUAUGGCUGGAAAGGAUUAAAAACACAGUGAAACAAACUGAGUCAGCCGGUGGAAUCUGACAUGCCACGGUCACUUUAAUCUCCAAAUGGUGCCUCAAACCACUCCUGACUUCUACACUGUAGGGCAGGCACAAUUCUAGAUAACAGGAGAUGAUUUAUGAUCUGUGCAAGAAAACUGCAGUGUUGCGCCAGUAAAAAGAAAUGCCAUUCAGUGUCGUGCACAAAGAAAAUAAACCAAGAAAGAAAUGACUGAGGAUAAAAUGUACUGUGAAGGCAAAAAAGGGGAAGAAAAGCAGUAAAAAGAGUUUGCAACUGCCUUGACAAUAUUACAGAGCCACUUUUUAAGGUGUUUUCCAGAGAUAUGUGGCACAUUAUUGUUGUCAGGUGUCCUGAUCAUACUAUCUAGAAGGAAAAUCAUUGAAGGAUCUCAUAAUCAUCUUCCUUACCCAUUAAUGUCUUUAGAUGUACCGAGAGGAAGAUGAACACCCCCCAUUUUAAACAAGAAACCUCAACAAAAUGUAAAUCUUGUUUAAACCCGUGUAAGUGUGGAUUCAUUUCCUCAUGAUGGGCGUUUAUAGCUCCUUAUAUUAUCUGCCUUACCCCGCUGUUGCUCUCUUAUUGUACUGCUGUGCUUCUGGGUUGGAAAAAACAUUUUCUUUAUGCAGCUGAAAUGAUUGAAUUCAGCUCACAUAGGAUUCAAAGUAUCCAGUGAUCCUGAUAUAUGCAAAAAUACAUGCUGAGUUUGAGAUUUCAUUUCUUAUGCAUGUAGAUUAACAUAUCCUUCUGAUUACAUGCAAAAUGUUUCAUACUGCCUGUUGUGAAAAUCAAUAUCUCGAUAAAAAUGGAGAUUGAGGAUGAGAGAAUUAAACUUGAAAAUGUGUUUUUUAAAAAAGUUAAAGGAAUUUUUAAUUAAAAUAAAGUUUUGCAGAGAUGAAAGACUGGAAUGAGAUAAAAGUAAGAGAAAAAAAAAACAAAAACAAAUUGCUGAUCUGUGCUUUAAGAUAAGAAGAACUCUAUUGAUCCAGAAGGGAAAUUCAAUUGUCCGUAGUAAUAUAUACAGUCAAUGUUACCAUGUUAGAUGUCCGUACCAAACUUCAGCAACUUCAUCACAUGAGAUACAUGGAUAGUAAAGUAGCCCCAAACAUGUUUUCCAGCUUCUCUAAAUGGCCUGUUUUGAGAGAUGGCCAAACCUUAUGUCGUGUUAUGCCACCCUAUUGGUACGAUAAGGCUGGACAGUCUGUUUCCCUCUGCACUCUGUUGAUUCAAUAUGCCUCUGAGAGUUGUGCUCAAGUGUUUUUCUCUUGUGAAGGACAAUCACAUCUAUUUUCUCUUUCCAAAGAUAGAGGUAGAAGGAAUCAGAGGGAAGUGUUUUUUUUAUGUUGUCAGGUCAGUGUGGCUGCUUGUUCUCACCACUUCACUGAUGACUUCUUCGUAAACAAAGGCCAGUUUGAUUUACUUCAUCUGAAGUGUUAUUUAAACCUGGCGCUGUUCCAUCUACAUAUGAACUAUGAUGGUCAUAAAAUUAGCUAGUUAAAGCUUGGAGUCUCUAAAGUUUUGGUCUAACUUUGUGCUCUGUUUGUCCCUCUGCUUCACUAACACACACCUGUCCCUUCUGCUCUUUGACUGGCACUGCCAUACAACUCUCCUCACUUCAAAUGUUGCUGCAUUCAUUGUUUUGCAGUAUUGCUAAAUAUUUUGAAGAGUCCAUUGACUUAGUGUUACAUGUUUUCAACAUCUUAAAUUCCUUGCCUUCUCAAACCUUUUGCAUACUCACUUUAGAGCUCUUAGUGUUGAUUUUCUCCCUCCUGCCGUCUUAGACAUGAUGCGCUAUCCUUCUGUCAUUACCAAGUGCUAAAAUGGGCUGCUGCUUCUGUCAAAUGAGCUGAUCAAUAUUCAUUUAAAAAAAGAUUUUAGUUGAAUUUGUAAUAGACACAUAUGUAUAGACACAGACAUGGAUGGGUACAGAGAUGCUACAGAUGGACAGAUAAAGAAUAAAUACAGCAAUAAGCCCCUGUGUUUGAAAAUCAGCCCUUAUGGCACAUUGACUACCACACCUCCUAAUUAAAACAGACAAAUUGAGCAAAUCCUACAACAAAACAGUUAGAUGUGAACCUCUCAUUUUCUGCACUCUAUAGGCAAUAGAGAAAGCCAACAUCCCCUAACCUCCUAGCAUCCUCCAUUAAGCAACACAUUAGACAUUAACCCCAUGCUGAAACAAACAGCUGUAGCAACACAGUCUGCAGGAUUCAGAGUCUAAGUGGGAGUAAUGGGACUUCAAAAAAGUCAAGUUUCCUUAAAAUCAGUAGAUAGUCUGCUUUUAAACAUAAUCAUGAAUACAGUGGUGUUGAAAAUGCACCAGUGCACAGGAAGCAGCUGCAGUGUGGAAUAUUAAACAGCUCACUCAUUUAUUAAUGGGAUUUUAGCACGUCUGCCCAACAUACAAAGGCAUCCCAAGACGCCGCCGUGACAGAGAGGAAGAACAGUUUGUGUUUUUUUACAUAGAAGAUUACAAGAUUGCACCAGCCUUGCAAGAGCUGCUUUAAAGAAAAUGUCUCUGUUCACUCACAAAGACGCUCUGUUUGUGACGACACUUCUGUAAAGCUCAAAGAAAUCUGAAAAAAGGAAAAAAGUUUUAGAGGAGAACUUUAAUCAUUGAGACAAUCAAUCCAUCAGUGUUCAAUGAGAUUGCUGAGAGGAGACACGUGGCAAAUACUUUUGAGCAAACUAUUCUGAUGAGUGAGUCCAUAUGCAUUGAAAAAAGAUCUUUAAAGACUUUUCCAACUGUUUUACACUUGGAACUACAGUAUUGGCUGUUCUCAUACUGAGCUUUAUUAUUACAUAGAAGAUCAAUCUCCAAUCAAUAAGUGUUUCUGCGAAAAUUAAUAAUAUACAUAGUCUGGCUACCUCUUGAAAUACACUUCAAUUUUGAAGCUCUGCCAAGCAAGUUUAAGUCAUGACAAACAGAAACUCCCAGGGCCUUGUAUUUAUGACAUGUUUUCAAAGAAAGUGUGAAAACAAUUGAAAUGAAUCAUAUCCUGCCAUGAGCAGCAGCUCUGGACCUGGAAAAAAUUCCCUUAAAAUAAAAAAAAAACAUGGUGCAUGAAACAAACUGUGCGCACGAAGGACGCCGGUUAAAGGAAACUCUUACCACAAUUGGUUUUGUGUAGAUCAUAGAGACGGAGGCUUGUUGUCCAUCUGUGCUCAUUGUCGGUUAAUCAAUAAUGUACAUAGUCUGGCAACCUCUUAAAAUACACUUUAAUCUUGAAGCUCUGCCAAGCAAGUUAAAGUCAUGACAAACAGACACAUCACUCUGCCAGCAGCAAAACCCUUUGCUAUCUGGGUGCUCAAGUCCAGGGGCCUCAUGUAUCAACACUUGCGUGGAACUCAUACCAGAAACGAGCGCACGCAAGGUCCGUCACGCUGAAAAAAAUCCGUAUGUAUCAAUGUGUGCGGGCGCCGAAAUCCACGUGUGUUUCCUUGAUAAAUCCCAAUCAGCGUGGAAUUGAGCGCAGAUGUCGGAGUGACUGGGCCCGUCCCCGUUACGCCCUCCUAUAAAUAUGCAGAUUUAUUUAAAUAGGGUCUCCCUGUCCUCGCACGCAGACAAAAUGACAAGAAAAACUACAUUUACGGCGUGCGAGGUGGAGGUGCUGGUGGCGGAGGUGGAGGAGCGACAGCGUGUUUUGUUUGGCAGCCUGUCCAGUGGCGUCAGUGCAAAACAAAAACGCUUGGAGUGGGAGAAAGUUUGCGAGAGGGUGAAUGCGGUGGGUUCCGAGACACGCACCCCCGCGGAGAUUAAAAAAGUGGUCGGACCUCAAGGUGGAGGUCAAGCGGCGUACAGCUGCCCUCCGGAGGAGUACCGGCCAGACAGGUGGGGGUCCGGGGGAGGAGACCCUCACACCGUUUGAGCAGCGGGUGGUGGCGAUUAUUAUUAUAGGGUAAGUGGCGUGUCACACAAAUGUCCACAUGCUUUGUCAUCCCACUGAGCAAAAGACGUAUAUUAGACGUCUAGUCUAAGUUUAUACUUCAUUUCAACGUCGGGAUUCAGUCUUUUUUUAGACGUGAUUUAUACUUCGCCCUUAACUUCAUUUUUCAAUAACUUUUUAUGCAAUAAACAACUGUAAUGUGCAUAACUGACCUCGAAAUACUGGAUUACAUUACCUAUGAUACUGUGGAGAGAGAUGUAAACGCAACAGAUACACAGAAAAAGGAAUUGAAAUGAACUAAUAUUUUUAUUGUGUCACAGAAAUUAAUGUGUCGGCCGUGUCGCCGGCUUGCGGAACCCCGGCCCGCGGCAGCCCGUCCGCCGGCUCGGAGUCGUCGGCCAGGACCAGCGGCAUUCGGGCCACCCCGGCCCCAGCACCAGCAUCAGCACCAGCGCGCCGACAAGCGGUGGAGCGUCCACCAGCCGCGGCGCUUCCGCUGGACCACCCGGACGCAGUGGAAGGGUCCUCGCGGAGUCCUGCAAUCGCAGGAAGAAAUCAUCAGGGGGAUCGCGGGGAUCAACGAGCGGCUGGACCGGCUCGUAAAUUUCCUCGAGCGUCUGGUGGAGAAAAUAAAUUAAUUUGGCUCAUUGAACUGUGUAUUCACUUCUUACCCAUUCACACUGUGGCGAUGAGAUUCUCCCGCGCGAGGACGGCGGCCCGGCAGGGAUCAGCUCGCAUCCCUCCGUCUGCUGCUGGUUCGUCAUGUGGGGCGACGUGCUGCCCGGCCACGGGGAUGUGGUGCACGCUUGUCACAUAGUGAGUCACCAAACACCGCCACACAGCGUCGCCAAAGUGCGAAUCACAGUCAACGCAAAUAUCCAGCUCAACGCCAAUUUCUACACCACCUCCUGACUUUGCGUUGAUUAGCGCUGGAACCGACGCUCGUUUCGCGAUGAUAAAUCUGGACGUGUGCGCCGAUUUUGGCGUACGCAAGGUUUUCUUGCGCCGCAAGCGUUGAUACAUGAGGCCCCAGGACAUAGACUGAAGUUUCGCAGCUGCUGGACCAAAACCCAUCCGCCUCGACUGCUGUCAUUCAUGUUGGAAUUAACGACAUCAGAAACAAUCAAAAAAGCUCAAAGGUGACUUCAUAAGUCUAAUAGACCGUGUGUUGAGACACAGGCCACCAGCUCACUACCUCCAGCCUGCUGCCCUGUCUCAGCUGUCAACUCAAUUUCCGGUUAACCACUCGUUCUGGAUACCUUUGUGGAUGACUAUACCACCACCGUCCUUAUCUUUUCCAAAAUAAUGUCAAUUAUCCAGUACAAAUUAUCAUGGAUUAAUUUGAACAUGGACCUCCCCAGUCACUUAAAACAGGUGUUGUUAAACCACUUUAAAAGUAGUUCAGAUCUCAGACUCAUCUCCAAUUUACGUAAUCCUCAGCUAAGUCAUUUCUACACAUUAAACAAUGUUCUGCAUUUCCAAUCUCACCAUUGCACCAAAACAGCUCUUAAAUGGCCACAAGCUGAAAGGUCCUCAUGAUGUUAUUCCCAAAACACCUAUGAUUCAGUAAAAAUACAGUCAGACACGCAGCACCAUACUCUUCAGACUGUGUGUUUCAGAUUGCUGAGAGAAGGCCCAUAAUUUUCAGUUUCAGCAAUAACAAACUGAAACUUCACUCUACCGAGCUACAGCAAUAUAUUUCUCAUGACAUUUAUUUUUGUGAUCUUUUCACUUUAUAAUUUAAAUGAACUUUUACUGAGUCUCUGGCCUGUAUGUAGCAGUUGUUAAUACUGUUUAAAAGGGCUCUAGUUAAUAUUAUCAAAACUAUCCCUAAAGUCAGCCUCCUGCUGGUGUCAGAGCCCUGUCUCUAAUGAGUUUCCCGCUGUAGUCUUUAUAUUUGUAUUCUGGUGCAUAGUCUGUAUGAAGAGUCCAUCGAUCCCUCUGCAAAGACAGAGCGCGGUGUGUUAGGAGGCCAUGAAAGUGUCUGUGAUUCACUCUGUAAAUCAAUGAGACACACAGCAGAGAAAGAUGCAAACAUUUUAUGGAAACUAAUAAGGGUACAAGAACAAGAUGCAGGGGGAGUGUGUUUGGGUGUGUCUGAACCAUAGCUCUGGGCUGCUGCAAGAGCUUGAGGAUAAUCUAUAAAGAAAAAGAAAAUCGCUAGGGUGCAGAAAAUGGAUUUUCCAGAGCGCGGUUGUGCUGUAAUGAUCACUGCAAGGAAUAGCUUUAUCCUGGCCGGUCUGCAGUUUGUAAUCACAUGCAUGUAAGGUUAAAAUAAGCGCGUGUAAGUGUUGUUUUUCUGCUUGUGGUUAUGAGUGUUGAGCGUGAGCCAGCUGUCCCGGGUCCUUCUAUAUGCUUGAUUGUGUGCACGCAUCGGUUUAAAAGUGUGUAGGCGCAACUUUGUGUAUUUGUGGACAUAUGUGUGUAGGUGUGUGCAUACGGAGAGACGGUAAUUGCUACUCGCUUAAUUCCGUCCUCCAUUCGUCCAUACAGGAGCUCAAUCCAACAAAAGAAGCAGGGCGGCUGGUGCGGAGAGUCGUUUGUCAGCCAUGUUGAAAUGUUCCUAAUUGGAUUUCCUUGGCAGCAGUUUAGUUCGGCGAGGAGGGAAGCAGGAGAGAGUGAAAGAAAAAUGAUAUGAGCUAAUUUAGACUCUUUGUGAGGAACUUUGUCCCCUCCUGUUUUGCCUGAGUUCCCUUGAAAUGCAUUUUAAAAGAAGUGUUUAUGAUCAAAUGCAUUCAGGUUGACCUCGUAUGAACUGCGUGCAUGUCUAUGUUUUAAAAAGUUUCUGUCUUUUCUAUUCUGAGGCCUGUUCCUCGGUUAAUUCUGUCCCCACAGUGAGACAGGCAGAGAAAACAGCUGAAUGCUAGUCACGUUCAAUAUGAGUGAUAGUCAAUCAUGGACCAUGAUGGCCGUGGUGACCCGGAGGUUUCAUUCCUCCCACCUAAUCAGAGACUGAUUUACCAUUUGGACACCAGGUGAAUGCAGUCUAUUAUUUCCUAUGACAGAAUAACAGCUGCUAUCCGGCCCUUAGUGACCUAAAUGAGGAAUCACUGCUUAAAAGACAAUUUAUGUGACCUUUCAGUUUAAUACAGCAGUUUUAUCUGAUCAUUCAAGCUUCAUAGCUUUUAAAAUCUGGAACUCUCCGGAGGCUGGAUCAUGCAGCUGUCCGGGGUUUAAGUGGGGCACCGUACACAGUGGUGUUUUGGACUAAAAUGUUAACAUGCCAUCAAGCUACUGUACUGUCUGGCAGGUGCAAUGCCCACCAUGCUUUUGCAAUUGACCACUGCGGGGGCCACCUACAGCCCCUUUUAAAGACUUAAAGGUAGUGUAAGGCAUAUGGUAUUGAUCCCAGUGACCCCUUUGGAUGGUGUUGUGUUGCCAGGAUGAAGACUUGAUUUCCCAUGAGCCCCAUCACCCGCUGAGAGAAAGAUAUGGCUCUGGUAUGAAUGAAUGCAAAUGUAAUGCAAAGUAAUAGGUGAUGUGUUGAUUUGUAGCUGCACAAAAAUAACAACAAUAAUAAAACUUUUAUCCUUCUUACAGAACUGAAGGACAAAGUUUUGAGAGAUAACGUUAUUAUAUAUCAUCAAAACCUGCAGUGACACUUCAAUUUGACUGCUGGCACACUUAUACUUCCAUCCAUCUAUGAAAAGAGACAAAUUGUAAGUUUCCCACGGCCUUUAACCGGCAUGAAAUCGCUCCCUCAAGUGUAUGUGGUCAUUUAAAUCUUAUCAACAAUACAAUUCAUGGAUUUGUUUGCUUAUGCCCUUUUUUUAUACUAGGGUUUGUGUGAGCCACGGUAAUACACAACAAGCUUAGAACAAACACAUAAUAUUUUGUCUGUUGAAUUGUCUCUCAGGCAUUUUCUCUCUCUCACUCCACACUAUAAAAUCCCCAAUGUUUUCUGGUUUUUUUUUUUCUCCCUUUUAUGGCUGAGAUCAAUGCCAAGAUUAAAGCCAAAGGGCAGACAGUGUGAGUCCAACCAACAAACAAGACAAUCCAACACAGACGGGCAGUCACACAGAUUAACAGCGGCAGCAUAAUUAGCUCCUGGAGCUAUGCGUUUUGUUUUAUUAUGCCUGCCACCGGUCAGGGGGGCACACACUCGGGUGCUGCUGAUGGAAAGGUAUUCUGGUUAAAUGGCUCAACUUAGCAUACAUCAGCCCUCUCUGGGUUUUACUGUUAUUGCUGCCUGAGAAGCUGAUGAGAAUUACUGUGUGUCCUUGGUUAAGGGGAAAAUUCUUCUGUUUUCCUUCCUGGUUUCACAAAUCAUGACAACAACCAUUUCAUAACACAAGCCUGCAUAGUGCUGAAAGGCUUUUUACAUACCACCCCUCUGGCUUUUAUCCCAGGGACCUUUCAUUCCACUUCUCAUCAGACUACAUUGAUGAUGCACACUGACCAGCCUACUGUUAAGUUAACGUAAUUGUCAUGAUAAACCAUACUAACUGGCUUACUCUUAAAGUUUGGUAGCAGCCAUGUAACCUGAGUAUCAUUAUCAAACAGCAAUGAAGCAUUUCUUGUUAUAUGUGGCAAAAACAUAGAAAACAGAGCAUAAGAUUUUACAGAUAUUAGCUUUUACUGGUCGAUUACAACACUUAAUAUCAGUAGUUCAUGAAAUCAUUAACAGAUAUUUGGUCUUAUAUGCAUUUGGAAGGAGUCAACUGAUGAGGUUUUUUCACGGCCAAUAUUUGUAACUGGUAUACAUCGACAGUGAAAAUAAAAAUUUGUUUGUAAAAAAAAUAGAAUUCUGCUGUGUUUUUACUGCUUUUUAUGUUAAAGGUUGGGUAGGCUGGAUCUGAGGAAGUGCCAGUUUUUGGGAGACAUCUUGAAUGUAAACACUACCCCUACCAACCAUUUUUCCCCUCAGCUCCUCCUCUCCUCCACAAACAGACGCUCAUGCUCGCUUGUGACAUUCCAUUUAAAUUCAGAUAUAAUGCAGAUAAAUACUUCAGAUAAUUACAAAUGGGGCCCAGUCAACGUGAAAGUUGGUUCUACUGUAGACGCCAACAGACUACCAGCAAACACAAUGUUUGCAGGCCUUCUACAGCUAGGAUAAAGUGACGUACUCCAGGACCCGAGGUAAACAAUUUAGCGGCUCUACAAGAAACACAGCAACACUUAUGUUACAAACACUGGGCUUACUUUGUUAAAGUUGUUUACCUGUCCAGCAGAAAGGUUACAGGGUCUGUAAGAUCCCUAAGCGUCCCCCAUCAUUGACGCUUCAUUGAUGUUGACCCGGUCUACCUCCUUUUUAAGCACCCGUUAUUCUGCCAGAGACUCCAGUAUUGACUUUAUUUACUUGCUUGUGUUGGCAGUCAUGGCCAAAGGAGGAUUCAGACAAUUUCCCGUACUUUCUGGUUGGUUUCUACUGUCCGAUAUUGUAGCACGCUAACUUUGUCUGUGCUUGUGCAUAUUAUUUGAGGAUGUGCAGCGUGUCUCACAACAGGAGGGAGCAGCGCCCGCCUCACAACCAAUCAGGUCGGGGAGGUGUAGAACAGCUUUGUUUAUAGUCAGAAAGAGCGGGCAGCUCAAAAAUGUUUAAAUGUUGACUACACAGACAUAACAAAACACAGUGAUACUGUGAUAUUCCCAUCAAUAACUAAAUCUUAAUGACUGAUAUUAAAAAAUUUUUUGUAUAUACACCACAAAAAAGAUGCUUCUUUAACGGAUUCCAGCCGACCCCACCUUUAAGCUGAGCAUUUACAGUGAACUUUGUCAAAAUUCAGAAGUUAAACUUUGCUCACAUGCCAUGAGCUAAUGUCUAUUAAAUCUAAAUUUCUAACCUCUUAUCAGGAGUCAAAAUUAAGUUGCGUGAUAUCUACGCAAACAUAUUGUGUUGUGGGCAGGGCAUUUCGCUCACGAGCGGUUAUUCGCGAUCAGUAAAAUGAAAGGCUGAUACAGAUAAUCAACCAAGUCUGAUAAUCGGUCUGCCCCUGGCCAAGGUGGCUCAGUGGAGGUCUGUAUUGAUCUGUUGCUAAUUAACAGGGGGAUAGCUAAAAGUGCAACAUAAGACAGCUAUCAGUGGCUCAAAAUUUCUGCAUUUGAGAUAGUUGUUUCAGGAAAAAAAAACAAAAAAACAGUAGCGUUCUCCCAUUUAUCCAAAUUUGUCAUUUAUAUUGAUAAUUAAUUCAUUUAUUGAAAGAAAAAACUCCCCUCUACCCCUUUUCUUUUAACAUGACAUACUAAUAACAACUAUGUAUUUUCAGUUUAAAGCGGAAAAGCAAAGGCAGACAUUGGAGAAUUUAUUUACAUUUUUGUUUUUUUUGUGAAUGGAUGGAGUUUGUAGAAAUAUGAACAUUUAGAGCUGAUUCAGUUGACAUCAAUUUUCCAACCUAACAAAGAACUUUCAUAACGAGGUGACGACAUUGUUUUUCCUCCGCUCAUCAUGUCAUUGUGGGUUAAGCGGGUAAAAGCUGCAUAUAAACUUCAUCUACUUUAUUGAGGUCACUUGGACCCACCAGUAAGAACAAUGAAAGAUUCAUUAUGCUGAAAACAACUUAAAGCAUCACAGCAGGUCGACGUUUUAAGUUACACAGAAUGAAUGCUGCAAUACAUUGCACCCUUAUUGCCACAUAGUAGGAAUACAAGCCUUUAGACUUUUUAAUUAGGCAUCUCUGUGUGAAACAAAUUUCUUACCGAGUUUCUUUAUCUAAUUCUAGAGGCAGAAACUGUCUGUUUAAAAACUGCAGCUAUUCACUGAGCAUGAAAAAGGAGACCACCUCUAGUAAUCUCACAUGUUACCACAGAAAAGGAGAUGUAAACAAAAAAAAGGAACUGGGGGCCAGAAAGAGAAAAAACAAGGCUCAAUGUUUCAAAAGUAAUGAUGAGAAAUGCUUUAGGGGGUAAAAGUCAAUGUCAGAGUAAGUAAUCAUUCUGAUUGUAAAUACCAAACAUGUUCAGUGUUAUCUAGAUGAUCCUAUGAGUCUCCGAGCUGUUUUGGAGAAUCAAAAAGCCUUGCAUUAUUGGUAAUUUAUUACUGACUGGAAUCCAGAGCCGUAUUUUUUCCUCCCAUAGUCCGGAGGUGUGAAUAAGAUCAGAAAGCAUGCUAAAAACUCUGUCAGCCAGCAUCAAAUAUUAAACUGACGUAGCUGCUUUUUUCUUCUCACCAGCAUGCUUUAGGGAAAGUUCACGAAUGAAAAUGAGAAAGAAAUGUGGAGGCAGAGAGGAUUUGUACAACUUCAUGCAGAUAACAAGUAUUGGUUGUUGUUGCUGAUGUGUUCAAUAAAUCUUAGACGAUUCAGAAAUGGUUGAAAAUAUCUGAUUCCACCAUUUUAACCAAGAUUCAAUACUGACACCCCUGCUGAUGCUCAGGGGAAUCUGAAAUGCACUGAAUUAUACAUUAUCUCUAUCUAAAUGGCUAUUAUCUGUUAGCUUUCUUUCUCCUCUGCCCUUUCCUAUUCUCUUUUCCAGUCCAUGUCUCUCUUAUUAACCCCAUUCCUCUCAUUGCCUAUUAGACAAUCCAGUUUCAUUUGUGACUGCAGCCGCAGAUUCAAGCAGGCACCUCAAAGGGACUAAUUGUCAACCUUUCCCCUGCAGGUCCAGGGCUCUGCUGGCCGACCAAUCACAGGAAAAUUUACACCUGAGAUGUCAGGCAAAAGCCAAUAGUGACAGGAAUUAAAUAUCCUACAUCAUGACUCUCAAGGGAAAAAGAAGCACUGGGGA